UGGGUGAGGAUAAGCCAUGCGAGUUGAAUGGGAUACCUAAAGUUCCCAUGGCAAACUGCUCAGUAACAUAUGAUCAACUUACCCUAUGGAGAAAAAUAACCUCGGGAAACUGAGGAUAAUGUUUCAUAGUUGAAUUGGCUUGGAAAAGUUUUUCGACGAAAGGGGUAAAAAAAAUGGUUUUUAUCUGCUAUAGGAUAGGAUCGUGUUCGAUUAUGGUUGUUGGUGAGGUAAUGGCUCACCAAGCCGAUAAUCGAUAGGGGCCGUGAGAGCGGGAGCCCCGAGAUGGGUACUGAGACAACGACCCAGGCCUUACGAGGCGCAGCAGGCGCGAAACCUCCGCAAUACACGAAAGUGUGACGGGGUUACCCAAAGUGUUCAAUUUUGAACUGUGGUAGGUGAGUAAUGUUCCCUACUAGAAAGGAGAGGGCAAGGCUGGUGCCAGCCGCCGCGGUAAAACCAGCUCUUCAAGUGGUCGGGAUAAUUAUUGGGCUUAAAGUGUCCGUAGCCGGUUUAGUAAGUUCCUGGUAAAAUCGGGUAGCUUAACUAUCUAUAUGCUAGGAAUACUACUAUACUAGAGGGCGGGAGAGGUCUGAGGUACUGCAGGGGUAGGGGUGAAAUCUUAUAAUCCUUGUUGGACCACCAGUGGCGAAGGCGUCAGACUGGAACGCGCCUGACGGUGAGGGACGAAAGCCAGGGGAGCGAACCGGAUUAGAUACCCGGGUAGUCCUGACCGUAAACGAUGCAUACCAGGUGAUGGCACGGCCAUGAGCCGUGUCAGUGCCGUAGGGAAACCGUUAAGUGUGC
rnacentral:rRNA from 1 species